GAUGAACGCUGGCGGCGUGCUUAACACAUGCAAGUCGAACGAGAAGUGGAGACGGAAACCUUCGGGCGGAAGACUUUAUUUCGAGUGGCGGACGGGUGAGUAACGCGUGGGUAACCUGCCUCAUACAGGGGGAUAACAGUUGGAAACGACUGUUAAUACCGCAUAAGACCACAGCACCGCAUGGUGCGGGGGUAAAAACUCCGGUGGUAUGAGAUGGACCCGCGUUCGAUUAGCCAGUUGGCGGGGUAACGGCCCACCAAAGCGACGAUCGAUAGCCGAUCUGAGAGGAUGACCGGCCACAUUGGGACUGAGACACGGCCCAAACUCCUACGGGAGGCAGCAGUGGGGAAUAUUGCACCAUGGGGGAAACCCUGAUGCAGCGACGCCGCGUGAGUGAAGAAGUAUUUCGGUAUGUAAAGCUCUAUCAGCAGGGAAGAAAAUGACGGUACCUGAGUAAGAAGCCCCGGCUAACUACGUG
rnacentral:rRNA from 1 species